CAGCAGCCGCGGUAAUACGUAGGGGGCAAGCGUUGUUCGGAAUUACUGGGCGUAAAGGGCAUGUAGGCGGUUUUGUAAGCCUGACGUGAAAGGCUAUGGCUUAACCAUGGCACUGCGUUGGGAACUGCGAGACUUGAAUCACGGAGGGGGAGCUGGAAUUCCAGGUGUAGGGGUGAAAUCUGUAGAUAUCUGGAAGAACACCAGUGGCGAAGGCGAGCUCCUGGCCGAUGAUUGACGCUGAGGUGCGAAAGUGUGGGGAUCAAACAGGAUUAGAUACCCUGGUAGUCCACACUGUAAACGAUGUGCACUAGGUGCUGGGGCGGACGCUUCAGUGCCGGAGCUAACGCGGUAAGUGCACCGCCUGGGGAGUAUGCUCGCAAGGGUGAAACUCAAAGGAAUUGACGG
rnacentral:rRNA from 1 species